UACAGAGGGUGCGAGCGUUAAUCGGAAUUACUGGGCGUAAAGCGCACGCAGGCGGUUGAUUAAGUCAGAUGUGAAAUCCCCGAGCUUAACUUGGGAACUGCAUUUGAAACUGGUCAGCUAGAGUCUUGUAGAGGGGGGUAGAAUUCCAGGUGUAGCGGUGAAAUGCGUAGAGAUCUGGAGGAAUACCGGUGGCGAAGGCGGCCCCCUGGACAAAGACUGACGCUCAGGUGCGAAAGCGUGGGGAGCGAACAGG
rnacentral:misc_RNA from 1 species